rnacentral:rRNA from 1 species
UACAGAGGUCCCGAGCGUUGUUCGGAUUCAUUGGGCGUAAAGGGUGCGUAGGUGGCGCUGUAAGUGGGGUGUGAAAUCCCGGGGCUUAACUCCGGAACUGCAUUCCAUACUGCGGUGCUUGAGGACUGGAGAGGAGACUGGAAUUUACGGUGUAGCAGUGAAAUGCGCAGAUAUCAGGAGGAACACCAGUGGCGAAGGCGGUGCUCUGGGCCGGAACUGACGCUGAGGAGCGAAAGCGUGGGGAGCAAACAGG